CUUCGACUACAUCGACUCUACCAAUGGCACUCUUAUGUCCCCUGAAGUUCUUGAUGGCAAUGCAGUACAAAACUUCCGAGGCUGUCCUGUGGGCUGGUUGGAAUACAAGUCGAGCUGUUACCAAUUUACCGAUGAGAGAAAUGACUGGGAAUAUGCCAGCGAUGACUGUGAGGCAAAGAGAGCUCAUUUGGCCAUUUUAGAUGAUGCAGAUAAAAUGGAUUUUCUUGGAAGGUUUCAGGAC